UACAGAGGUCUCAAGCGUUGUUCGGAUUCAUUGGGCGUAAAGGGUGUGUAGGUGGCGCCGUAAGUCGGGUGUGAAAUUUCGGAGCUUAACUCCGAAACUGCAUUCGAUACUGCGGUGCUUGAGGACUGGAGAGGAGACUGGAAUUCAUGGUGUAGCAGUGAAAUGCGUAGAGAUCAUGAGGAAGACCAGUGGCGAAGGCGGCAGCCUGGUUGGCUCCUGACGCUCGGACACGACAGCAUGGGGAGCGAACGGG
rnacentral:rRNA from 1 species